CCUACGGGUGGCAGCAGUAGGGAAUCUUCCACAAUGGGCGAAAGCCUGAUGGAGCAACGCCGCGUGGGUGAAGAAGGUCUUCGGAUCGUAAAACCCUGUUGUUAGAGAAGAAAAUGCGUGAGAGUAACUGUUCACGUUUCUACGGUAUCUAAACAGAAAGCCACGGCUAACUACGUGCCAGCAGCAGCGGUAAUACGUAGGUGGCAAGCGUUAUCCGGAUUUAUUGGGCGUAAAGGGAACGCAGGCGGUCUGUUAAGUAUGAUGUGAAAGCUUUCGGCUUGACCGGAGUAGUGCAUUGGAUACUGUGAGACGUGUGUGCAGAAGAGGAGAGUGGA
rnacentral:rRNA from 1 species